UUUGCGCGUUCUACAUGGUCAGUCAUCCAAAUAGCGUCAAAUUUGUAUCCGCCCACAAGUGUUGCUAAUAGUUUUGGUCAUUGGUUGGACGGUAUUUCAAAUAGGUUCAAAACGCUAAUAAGGGUGGGAGCGUAUGCCUUACUAUGGUCGCUUUGGCUAUGUAGAAACGAUUUGGUUUUUAAUGACAAAAAUGCUUCUCCUCUGCAGGUUAUUUUCCGUUGUACGCACUCGCUUCGUAUGUGGUCUAUGCUACAACGUGCGGAGUACCAACCGCUAUUCAAGGCGGUGUGUACGCGAUUGGAGCAGGUGGCUAUGGAGUUUUUUACCCAACAUGGGUGGCAGCAUAAUCUCCGCAUCGGUCCACCAACCAUUUCGACAUAG
rnacentral:rRNA from 1 species